GGUCGUGUGGCGUAGCGGCAGCGUGCUUGGCUCGGAACCAAGAGGUCCCGGGUUCGAGUCCUGACAUGCCA